UACAGAGGAACCAAGCGUUGUCCGGAUUGACUGGGCGUAAAGCGCACGCAGGCGGGGGUGCGCGUGGGGUGUGAAAUCUGGCCGCUUAACGGCCAGGCGCCAUCCCAUACGGCACGCCUGGAGCCUUGCAGAGGUCGGUGGAAUUGCCGGUGUAGUGGUGAAAUGCGUAGAGAUCGGCAGGAACACCCAGGGGGAAACCAGCCGACUGGGCAAGUGCUGACGCUGAGGUGCGAGAGCGUGGGGAGCGAACCGG
rnacentral:rRNA from 1 species